rnacentral:rRNA from 1 species
CCUACGGGUGGCUGCAGUGGGGAAUAUUGCACAAUGGGGGAAACCCUGAUGCAGCGACGCCGCGUGAGUGAUGAAGUAUUUCGGUAUGUAAAGCUCUAUCAGCAGGGAAGAAAAUGACGGUACCUGACUAAGAAGCCCCGGCUAACUACGUGCCAGCAGCCGCGGUAAUACGUAGGGGGCAAGCGUUAUCCGGAUUUACUGGGUGUAAAGGGAGCGUAGACGGCUGUGCAAGCCAGCUGUGAAAGCCCGGGGCGCAACCCCGGGACUGCAUUUGGAACUGUGUGGCUGGAGUGUCGGAGAGGCAGGCGGAAUUCCUAGUGUAGCGGUGAAAUGCGUAGAUAUUAGGAGGAACACCAGUGGCGAAGGCGGCCUGCUGGACGAUAACUGACGUUGAGGCUCGAAAGCGUGGGGAGCAAACAGGAUUAGAUACCCUUGUAGUC